AAUAAGUGCAGUUUUGCACUGUUCAUAUUAAACGUUUGACCGUUCAUCUUAUUUGAAAAUUUUUAUGAUUAGUAUUUUUAUUGCUAUUAGAUGAUAAAACAUGAAUAGUACUUUAUGUGUGACUAAAUAUUUUCAAUUUUUUCACAAAUUUUUCAAAUAAGACGGAUGGUCAAACGUUAGGCACGGUUAUCCACGGCUGCACUUAUU
rfam:Oryza barthii chromosome 1, whole genome shotgun sequence.